AUUGAACGCUGGCGGCAUGCCUUACACAUGCAAGUCGAACGGUAACAGGUCUUCGGAUGCUGACGAGUGGCGCACGGGUGAGUAAUACAUCGGAACGUGCCUAGUAGUGGGGGAUAACUACUCGAAAGAGUGGCUAAUACCGCAUGAGAUCUACGGAUGAAAGCAGGGGAUCGCAAGACCUUGUGCUACUAGAGCGGCCGAUGGCAGAUUAGGUAGUUGGUGGGAUAAAAGCUUACCAAGCCGACGAUCUGUAGCUGGUCUGAGAGGACGAUCAGCCACACGGGGACUGAGACACGGCCCAGACUCCUACGGGAGGCAGCAGUGGGGAAUUUUGGACAAUGGGCGAAAGCCUGAUCCAGCAAUGCCGCGUGCAGGAUGACGGCCUUCGGGUUGUAAACUGCUUUUGUACGGAACGAAAAGCCCCGGGUUAAUACCCUGGGGUCAUGACGGUACCGUAAGAAUAAGCACCGGCUAACUACGUGCCAGCCGCCGCCGCCG
rnacentral:rRNA from 1 species